GGUGGCUCAGUGGUAGAGUGCUUGCCUUGCAUGCACAAGGCCCUGGGUAUGAUUCCUAGCACCA
rnacentral:tRNA from 1 species